rnacentral:rRNA from 1 species
UACAGAGGUCUCAAGCGUUGUUCGGAUUCAUUGGGCGUAAAGGGUGCGUAGGCGGCGCGGUAAGUCGGGUGUGAAAUCUUGGAGCUUAACUCCGAAACUGCAUUCGAUACUGCCGUGCUUGAGGACUGGAGAGGAGACUGGAAUUUACGGUGUAGCGGUGAAAUGCGUAGAUAUCGUAAGGAAGACCAGUGGCGAAGGCGGGUCUCUGGGCCGGAUACUGACGCUGAGGAGCGAAAGCGUGGGGAGCGAACAGG